AUUGAACGCUGGCGGCAGGCCUAACACAUGCAAGUCGAACGGUAACAGGAAACGGCUUGCUGUUUCGCUGACGAGUGGCGGACGGGUGAGUCAUGUCUGGGAAACUGCCUGAUGGAGGGGGAUACCUACUGGAAACAGUAGCUAAUACCGCAUAACGUCGCAAGACCAAAGAGGGGGACCUUCGGGCCUCUUGCCAUCGGCUGUGCCCAGAUGGGAUUAGCUAGUAGGUGGGGUAACGGCUCACCUAGGCGACGAUCCCUAGCUGGUCUGAGAGGAUGACCAGCCACACUGGAACUGAGACACGGUCCAGACUCCUACGGGAGGCAGCAGUGGGGAAUAUUGCACAAUGGGCGCAAGCCUGAUGCAGCAAUGCCGCGUGUAUGAAGAAGGCCUUCGGAUUGUAAAGUACUUUCAGCGGGGAGGAAGGGAGUAAAGUUAAUACCUUUACUCAUUGACGUUACCCGCAGAAGAAGCACCGGCUAACUCCGUG
rnacentral:rRNA from 1 species